rnacentral:rRNA from 1 species
AACGAACGCUGGCGGCAGGCCUAACACAUGCAAGUCGAGCGGACCCUUCGGGGUUAGCGGCGGACGGGUGAGUAACGCGUGGGAAUAUGCCCUUCUCUACGGAAUAGUCCUGGGAAACUGGGGGUAAUACCGUAUACGCCCUUUGGGGGAAAGAUUUAUCGGGGAAGGAUUAGCCCGCGUUGGAUUAGGUAGUUGGUGGGGUAAUGGCCUACCAAGCCGACGAUCCAUAGCUGGUUUGAGAGGAUGAUCAGCCACACUGGGACUGAGACACGGCCCAGACUCCUACGGGAGGCAGCAGUGGGGAAUCUUAGACAAUGGGGGCAACCCUGAUCUAGCCAUGCCGCGUGAGUGAUGAAGGCCUUAGGGUUGUAAAGCUCUUUCAGCUGGGAAGAUAAUGACGGUACCAGCAGAAGAAGCCCCGGCUAACUCUGUG